AAACGAUUAAAGCCAGUCGUACCGACGGAAAAUCAACUUCUUGGGUGCCUAUCGUGGGUGACGUUGAGCUUCACGGUCUUCGUCGCUUGUGUUGUUGGUACCUUUGGGGUGUACUUUUUCGUAUGGUAGGUCAACAUCGAUUUUGAUCGUCAUAAAAUGAUCGGAGGAAUGUGGCUUCGAUCUUGUAUCGGAGUGUUAUAGCCUUUGGUAAAUGUGACGAUUGGGAUCGAGGUUUGCAAUGAAUACCCUUUGGGGCUAUCCGCCUGACCUCUAAAAGUUGCUUGGGUGUUGAAAGCGUGCUUAUGACUAUUCAAGUUAUCGGUUAACAGGUUAGGACGUGAUUACAUUCAUUAAGGAUGUUGACGUAAUGGCUUUAAACGA
rnacentral:rRNA from 1 species